rnacentral:lncRNA from 10 species
CGCCAUUCUCCUGCCUCAGCCUCCCGAGUACGCGGGACCACAGGCGCCUGCCAUCAUGCCCGGCUAAUUUUUUUUUGUUUGUUUUUGUUUUUUUGUAUUGUUAGUAGAGACGGGGUUUCACCAUGUUAGCCAGGAUGGUCUUGAUGUCCUGACCUCGUGACCCGCCCGCCUCGGCCUCCCAAAGUGCGAAUGAAAGCUUUAAGAGGGCUGCUUGUUUCUGGCAGCUCUCAGGUUCUUCCUGUCUGCCUCAGAAGUGGCAUAUUCCACAUACGGGCUGCAUCUUCAGUCUGGACUCAUCCUCUUCAAGAUGAGACAGGUGGAGCAGAGCUGCCACCAACCUCCGGUGAUUUCCACACAAUGUGUCCUAGAAGAAGAGACCCUACACUGGGCUUGUGACCAGCGGAAACUGAAUCAAUGCUGGAGACACAUUCUAACAGUCGAAUGGGCAGCUCACAGGAGGGUCACUGGCCGCUGUGUGGAAAAGAGAAUGUGGGCUCACCAGAGUGAAUGCAAGGACACUGGAAAAUCUGGAUAAGUGAUUCAUCUAUGAAGGGGAUGCACUAUAAUG